rnacentral:lncRNA from 1 species
AAUCCAAUAAACCGGGGCGUGCAGGAGCCAAAGACACUGAGGAGUGAAACAAAAGCUGUUUAUUCCACCCCAAACGGUCACAGUGAGCAGUGUCAAGCUGACGGUGUAACAGUAAGCAGGCAGCCUCUUUGGCUCUGAGAGUCUGCCCUCCGCCAAGGGCAGCUGACGGAAAUCCCCCAGGACGGGUUUGUUUUCGGCUUUGGCUGUCACCUGUUGGUGGGGCAGAGAGGAAAACCUUCGGGUUUCCUCUUGCUAACCUCCCUCCCGCUACGUGGGAGCGUCCCGCCCCUGCUGCUCUCAGGUUGAGUUGCAGAAUAAAGAAAUGACUGUAGGAACAGGAAUCUGAGCGUGCCUUGGCUUCUGAUCUGCUCCAGAUCUCCUGGCUUUGCAUAUGAAUAACAUCGAGGUGUGCGUCAAACCCAGCUCACACCCCGAGCCCCAUGUCUAGAUAGACCUGCCUGUGCUCUAAGUGCUUGUCGCUCAUCCCUGCUUGCACUUCCCUCUGUUUGGAGUCCUCCCUGAUGUCCUCAGAAAAUUUUGGUUAAAGGACAGGCCCUGAAAUCACUUUUCUUUUCACUAAACCGCCUGUGCUGGUGGUGUGUGGUGCUGAGCUGCCUCCCUGGUGGCCCGGGUGCUGACCGAGCACGGAGCUGCCCCAGGCCCCCGCGAGCGAGACGUCAGCCCUCAAGGCUGCAGGCAGAGAGAGCGAAAGUCCCCGGGGAGUACUUCCCGGCACGGGAAAAAUGUGCAAAAAAAAAGACACUUCUAACUGCUUUCCUCUUAUUAGGUUUUCGAACACCAGGUGUUUCCCUCUGACAUUUCACAAAACCUCCUCCGUGAGGGUUUUGUUGCUUUCAAGACAGUUUCCAGUUAAAAGAAGCUUAUAAAAUCGCCUACUGUGUAACACCUGGUUAACAUCAACCGGUGGGGAAACUCCUGAAGCCCGUGCUAGUGCUAAACGCCCGCUCUCUGAACACGUCACUCCCGGUUUCAGCUCCUGUAGGGCCGUGAAAUGGGGCACGGAGGGGUCCCGGGUCCGAGGCAGGGCUGGGGCAUGUACAAGGACGCACAGAGACAGGGGCUUGCGGGGGGCAGCCUGCUGCUGGGCUGUGCUCCGUGCCUGCAGCAGCCGUCAGCCAGCAGCUCGAGAGGAAUUUCGUAGCAGGCCAGUCUCUGCCGCAGCCGUUGCCUCUGCAAGCUGUAAAAACAAGGCAGCGCCCGUCUGUCACCUCGGUUAGCUGAGGCGGACGUCGCGGUGUGUGAAACCCUCCCAUGAUCAAUGCACGAGUUUGGUGGGGUGAGGGUUUUUUUUUUCUUGUUUUGCUUUUUUUUUUUCUCGUUUUUCUUUUUCUCUUUUUCCCUUUUGUACUGAGCUGUCUUA